CGCGUGUACUGGUCCGGCCGGGCCUUUCCUUCUGGAGAGCCCCAUGCCCUUCACUGGGCGUGCGGGGGAACCAGGACUUUUACUUUGAAAAAAUUAGAGUGUUCAAAGCAGGCCUUUGCUCGAAUACGUUAGCAUGGAAUAAUAGAAUAGGACGUGCGGUCCUAUUUUGUUGGUUUCUAGGACCGCCGUAAUGAUUAAUAGGGAUAGUCGGGGGCAUCAGUAUUCAAUUGUCAGAGGUGAAAUUCUUGGAUUUAUUGAAGACUAACUACUGCGAAAGCAUUUGCCAAGGAUGUUUUCAUUAAUCAGUGAACGAAAGUUAGGGGAUCGAAGACGAUCAGAUACCGUCGUAGUCUUAACCGUAAACUAUGCCGACUAGGGAUCGGGCGAUGUUUCUAUCUUGACUCGCUCGGCACCUUACGAGAAAUCAAAGUUUUUGGGUUCUGGGGGGAGUAUGGUCGCAAGGCUGAAACUUAGAGAAAUUGACGGAAGGGCACCACCAGGCGUGGAGCCUGCGGCUCAAUUUGACUCAACACGGGGAAACUCACCAGGUCCAGAUGAAAUAAGGAUUGACAGAUUGAGAGCUCUUUCUUGAUUUUUCAGGUGGUGGUGCAUGGCCGUUCUUAGUUGGUGGAGUGAUUUGUCUGCUUAAUUGCGAUAACGAACGAGACCUUAACCUGCUAAAUAGCCAGGCUAGCUUUGGCUGGUCGCCGGCUUCUUAGAGGGACUAUCGG
rnacentral:rRNA from 1 species